UUGGGAUACCAUAACAUGCAUCAACCAAGUCAGUGAGUCUGACCACCCAAUCCCGUUAGUUGCCUCUUAUGACAAGCAUAGUCGCCUUUUACAGCAAGCAUGGGUUGCUGAAGACCUAUUGUAUCACGGAUCUUCCAGGGUCUCAUGUCUUUGCACAUGCUCAGAAGCCUUUAGCCUGUUAUAGAUGGGAAUUUCAAUGAAAGAAUGACACAUCGGGUAUAUUGCAUAAAAGAAUAGAAAAGCUUGUUGUAAGAGGCGACUAAAAGGAUCAGCUGGUCAGGCUUGCUGACUUGGUUGAUGCAUGUCAUCAUAUCCCAUGUAGAUCAAUGCUCAUGAUGUCAAUCACUGGAUUGUCUGGUCCAGACCUGACUAUUUACAGACGGCCAUCACAAAGUUGGAAUAUCACUGAGUGCAGCGUUAAACAACAAACAAACAAACCUGAAUAGAAAUGUCAGUUGUGUGUGACACACACUCUACAAUUUUUAUUAGUUUUAAGGAUUCAAACAGCCAGACCAUUUCGCAUUCCCGGGACUCGCAGUGUGUACUGUUUAUACCAUUCACUAUUUGUAUGCACAUUGUACGCAACAUUUUCUGUCUGCUAAACCCUGGAGACAGGAGACAAGAUGUGAGCAGAGAACUUCAUUUGUCACACCCGUUCAUUUUGUAGAAUUUGCUGUGGUGUUUUGUACUGGAAUUUAGGGGCGGUCGGGUAGCCUCGUGGUACAAGUGUACCGGUGUCCCCUGCUGUGAUAUUGCUGGAAUAUUGCUAAAAGCGGCGUAAAACCUCACUCACUCCCUCACUCACUCACUGUACUGCAAUUUAACAAGUGUGGUCACAAUUUGAUUGUGUUAUACCAAGUACUAAACGCUCCAAAUAUGGUAAUUGAAUAGUCAUUGAUAGUCAUGCAUAUUUUGUCACAUUUUUUAUUCCAUUUAUCAUGAAUGAUGUGAAGGUGUAUGGCAUCCAUCACAAAUUAAUUGUAAAUUUCAGUAGUUGCUCACUACACAGAAGUUCAAGAUGGCUUACACUCACUUCCUUUACAACAUUAGCAAGUGCUUGUCAUUCAUUAUCAGGGUUUAUUGAUGACAAUGGCUGGCUGGUCAUCCAGAUCAUGACAAUCACUCCUUGCUGGUUUUUAAAAGAAUAAUUUGAACCAUUUUACUCUAUUGACAUUGACGAUUGGAAUGUGGUGGGGGAAGAGAGAAGAGAAAGGUAAUAUAUAACGUCAAUGCCAGAGAAUAACCAGUAUUAAUUAAGUGCCCAAACAGAUUCCAUUUAAAGGCAAAAUAGAAAUGAAAAUUAUUUAAAUGGAUAACUGAAAAUUAGUAAUGACACCAGGUGUUUGCGAAAAUAUAAGCAUGACCUGUAUACCGAUAGCACAUGUUGCUCGCACAAUUUGCAUAAGAAAGUUUGGUGCCUGACGCCAGCCCCAUGCUAAAGGACUGGCUCCUGUGAAGUGGGUGAGGCCAUCCAUAUUAUUUUAUGUGUCUCUCAUCUCCAUCCUCCGCUUCAGAUCCUGUCAACUUAAAAGUUGUCUGUCAUUUAAGAUAUGUGCAGAAAUGGUUCAUGAUUGAAGUGUUAAAGGGUCCAGCUGUGCGACAUGAUCUUGAGCUGAUUUACAGUCAAUUAACUAGUACCAAGUGUGAAAUAGACAUUAGUUUUAGGUAGCUGAGGUAAAGAUAAACCGCUAGAUUGUCACUUUUACUGAGUCUAGUCCCCACAAACUGAUUAUGAAUUUUGAACAUGUUCAUAAACUCACAACAUUAUUGUGCUAUAUUCAAAGCACAACUGUGUUUUGAAAAGCGGAGUUAGAAAAAAAUAGCUAUGAGCUGAGUUAUUGACCUUGAAUAUCCUUCUGUUUAAAUAUGAAAUCAUUUUAUAUUGGCAGAGCGGAAUGAUUUAGGGAAGGCAAUGAGAAGCUUAGUAAAAUACAGACUGCCCAGGUGUCUUGCUGUUACAAAUAUGUGUCAAUGAGUGUCGCUGUCUGUAGUGUUUAUUCAUUGCUAUGAAGGAAUUUAUUUGCAUGGUUGAUUGUUAAUAGCUUGUUGAUAUUAGACUGUGAUAGUAGUACAAUGUUACUCAGAAGGAAGUUCAUGUCAAUCAAAAAAGGGGACGUGUCAAUUUUUUUAAUGCAUUUAAUUAGGAUAAGACUAGUUUAUUGAUAGUCCCUGGAUAAUACCUACAUUUUGAGGUAAUGAUGACAGAAAACAUUCUUGACACUGGACUCAGCAUUGAUGUUUUGUUUUGCUUGAUAUAUUGUUUGUGUUUGGAGAUGGUACACAGCUUUCUGUAUUGUGGGCUACAGAAUCAUGAUGGCGCUUAUGUAAAAAAUAUUUUAACAAAUUAUUGAAUUGAGGAUGUGUUUGACAUUUUCAUUUGAUGGCCUCUUUGUUUAACAGGUUAAUAUACAAUUGUCAUUUUGGAGAUAAUGAAUAUUUUGAAUAUCAUUGUUAAAUCUUAUCAUUUUUCACAUUCUUGUUGAUAAUUAUUGAUUGUCUAUACAUGUCUAGAUGUCUUUCCAUUUUGUAAUAUAUUUUUAGGAAUGACAAUAGUACCAGACAAUGUACCUGUGUAUGUAUACUGGUGCUACACUCUUCAUACUUUUAACAAACUUCAUGAUCAAACAGUUUACAUUAGAAAAUACAUUCUUUUUCUGUAUUAGUAUUAUUAGGGUAUUUAUAAUACUGACAUAAAAAUUCACUGUCAACAUAAGAUAGUUAUAUUUGUCCAUGAGAAAAGUUGUUGCUCUCUGUCUAGUCUGUGUUUGAGUCACAUCCUGUGAUAGGUGUACCAUCAGAAGUGUAACAGCCAUAUACAUACAUGUUUACCAAUAUUGUGCUUAUAUUUCCUUACCAACCUGUAUCCAUCUAUACUCCAGCCCCUGUAUUCCCUCGAACUACCCUGUGUGUUCCCACUUACUAUAACCCUGCAUUACUCCCCAUGGUUUCUGCUGUGCCCUAUAUUCACAAGAAGCCCUCCCCAAUAUUCACUAGAAGCCCUCUCGUGUAAGUUAUACUCUAUGGGCUCUCCCCUGUAUUCAUUCCAAGACAACCCUAUAUUCACUAUAUUCACUUUAAGCCCUCCCCUAUAUUCACUUUAAGCCCUCCCCUGUAUUCACUUGAAGCCCUCCCCUAUAUUCACUUGAAGCCAUCCCCUGUAUUCACCCUGAGACUUCCUGUACUCAAAAACUUUCCAUCUAUUCACUCUAAUACCACCCGUGUAUUCAUUGUAAGACUACCCCCUGUAUUCAAUCUAAACUUUCUUUGUUCAAGACUUUCCAUAUAGUCACUCCAAGACAACCCCUGUAUUGACUUGUUGAACCACUAUUCACUUUGUAUCCCACUAUUAUGCUAUAUAUACAUAUACACCCCAGCAGUAGCUGGUGCUCCAACCUGUCUCACUGAUGUAGAUAUGUAGCUGUAUUUGAAACAUGUAAUACACAAUGUAGCUGUAUUUGAAACAUGUAAUACACAGUGAUAAAUAACAACAGUCUGCAAUAUACUAGCUUCAGUUAAAAACGAAUGAGAGAGUCUUGACAAUAUGACCCUCGUAUUUAUGACUUUGUUUAUCAUGAUUCAAUUUACCGCAAGCAUCACAAAUAUGAUAUUCUAGACAAGAUGUGUUUAAAUCUAGCAGAUGGUGUAUUUUGUGUAGACAUACAGAAUACACAAUCAAGCAUUAAUAAUUCAAAUAAAACAUCUUAAUUCAAAACUUUACAUAGAAGGUUUUUUUAACUGUUUUGACAGCUAUCGCCAACACUAAUUUCUGUAUUAAAAUGCAUCUUGCAUUAUGUGUGUAUAUAUGUUGCAUCUGUUCCUGUUAAAUGGUUGUACACAUUUGAUCAAAAUUUACCUCAUUGUAAUUAUCAUGACAUUCCAUCAUCACCAACGUUCCGUAUAGCCAUUCCCUGUGUGUAUGGACAACUGUUUAAAAAGGCCAAACACAAUCAGUACAGUGAUUAUGGAUGAUAGAGUAGUGUACUUGUUUUAUGUCUAACAGCAAUUAUUCUGCUUCCGACAUUGUCCACUGCUUCUGAUAACAACAGUAAAUGCUUCAUGUGAGGUAUGACUCAUAGCCAGUUUGCGAUUAAUGUUUUUAAAUGUUUUAAUAACAAUAUGGUUUUGUUUUUUUGAUGGAUGGGGAAUAAAUAUUUGUCGACGUAGCUGAGGAAAAACGACUAAUUUUUUAAAUGCCUUGCACAUAUUCCUGACAACUGAUUGUGUAUGGCCUCUACUUAUUUGCAAUAUUCAGCGUAUUGACACAAUUAAGUUUCAUUCUAUUCUCACAAAUAUCUUCAUGGUGUCAAGAAAUUGUUUACCUAUUGUUGGCUGUAACAUUGUUGAUUGUAAACAUGUGUAAUUAUUCUUAUAUAUCUAAUUGUAAUAUAUCCAGAUGUGUUUGUUUCUGAGUAGAUAUCAGGGACUGUCUCAAAACAUUCCCUUUACCUUUAUUGAAAGGAAUUCCAAACGGACUGAAACUAUUUAUUGACCUGUAGUAAAACACUAAUUAUUUACAUGCUUCAUUCGGCAAAUCCUUUAAACAAUUAAUAGCUUUACAUAGAAUAGAUUACCCACCUUCGUAUAAAGCUGAUCAGUGGAAUUUUGAGUUUAAAACGCACAUGGUGGAAGCUUUGGCCUUUUCAAUAGAUGCCUUUGCUUUACCAUGUGAUUAUCUAAGUGUUUGCUUUGAUAGCCAUUGAGAACAUGGAUCUUGAGGAAAAUCAGCUUAGAAACAUACUGUAUGUAUUAAACUAAAAAUCAUCUGAACUUAUAUAUGUAGAGCAAAGGUAGGAUAUCUUUAUGAAUACAAUAUGUAGAGCAAAAGGUAGGAUAUCUUUAUGAAUACAAUAUGUAGAGCAAAAGGUAGGAUAUCUUUAUGAAUACAAUACGUAGAGCAAAAGGUAGGAUAUCUUUAUGAAUACAAUAUGUAGAGCAAAAGGUAGGAUAUCUUUAUGAAUACAAUAUGUAGAGCAAAAGGUAGGAUAUCUUUAUGAAUACAAUACGUAGAGCAAAAGGUAGGAUAUCUUUAUGAAUACAAUAUGUAGAGCAAAAGGUAGGAUAUCUUUAUGAAUAGAAUAUAUUUCAGCAAAUUCUGAUCGAUCAAAUCAUGUUUUAUCUCAAGGAAAACAGUUGACAGUUGUGAUCAGAAUAGGAGACAUGACAGUGACUGUAUGAACCUUGUGAAGUAAUUCCUGAUGUUUACCGGAACUGCAGUUCCCUUGUAACUUCUACUCCAAGACAAUACUACACAACUGUGGCUCUUAUCUAGGACAUGUGCGCUAGAGUGACAGAGAGUUUAUCAUAACAUGUUGUAUACCACUCAACUUUGGAUAGGGAUAUUCCUUUUAUUCCAUCAUCCACCAACAUGCAUACGACAUGCAUCUGUAGACAGUAUGAAAUAUUGAUGUACCCUUAUCAAACAUUGGGUAGUAUAUGUUAACAUUGGCGUCUUAUCUCCACUGCCCAUCUCCAGUCUGGAACUAGACAGCAACAUUAGUGCUUUAUAUGUAUUGGACAUAUACUACUCAAAAGAGGUUAAGGACCUCAUUUUUUCAUAUUACUGUAGUUAAUCAGAGUAUUAACUAUAGUAAUAUGAAAGAAUGUUUUUUUGUUUAACCUCUUUUGAGUAGUAUACAUAAGAGGAUUCUUGCAGAUCAUGAUGCUAUCUUCGAUGAUGGUGAAAUAUAUUGAAUUAGGAUUGACAUUAAGUUUUUGAAGUUGAAUAUCUGUCAGUGGUAUUAGAAUCAGGAAGUAGGAUGAAAGUUCCACUUUUAAUUUUUCUUGACAAUAUUUGCAAGCUGUGUUAGUAUUUGUACAAUGACAUGUGUUUGAUAUGCUUUUGCCCCCAUAAUACAUGUUGCCUAGUGAGUUGUUAUUGCUGGACAGUUGAGCUUGUUAGUCUGCAUGACUGAGAUUUGGUUAUGUUUUAUUGUUUUAUUAUGUGAAAUCUUAUUUCAAGAAAAAAAUAAAGCAAUUUUGAUACACAUGUAA